UGUUAUUUUGGCAGAUUAGUGCAAUAGAUUUAGAAUCUAUUUAAGUAAAAUUUUAUUUACAUAUAACA
rnacentral:tRNA from 1 species